rnacentral:rRNA from 1 species
GAUGAACGCUAGCUACAGGCUUAACACAUGCAAGUCGAGGGACCGGCGCACGGGUGAGUAACACGUAUCCAACCUUCCCUUUACUCGGGGAUAGCCUUUCGAAAGAUAGAUUAACACCCGAUAUAAAGGAUGGGGAUGCGUUCGAUUAGGUUGUUGGUGAGGUACCGCCUCACCAAGCCUUCGAGGGCUAGGGGUUCUGGGAGGAAGGUCCCCCACGGUUGAACUGAGACACGGUCCAAACUCCGACGGGAGGCAGCAGUGAGGAAUAUUGGUGAAGGGGCGCUAGCCUGAACCAGCCAAGUAGCGUGAAGGAUGAAGGCUUAUGGGUCGUAAACUUCUUUUAUAGAAGAAUAUGUAUUAGAUGAAUAAGGAUCGGCUAACUCCGUGCCAGCAGCCGCGGUAAUUC